AUGAGCAUCAGCUGGGGCUUCAUGGACUCUUUCUACAACGAGGAUGAUGGUUUGUUCUAUGUGCUUCGCAGCCACAGGUCCGUCUUCACCCUGAAUUUCAAUGGGCCAUCCCUUGUUGUCAAAAAGAUCAUGCGAAGAGUUAGGAAGGGAGAUGAUCCUUCUAGCAUGUACAUCCUGCAAGCUCCAUGGGGUGAUAUUUUGCAAAUAUGGAGGUGGAGGAGCUACACUGACUCCUCAACACCUGUGGAGCUUCCUAGAGAUCUGCUGGGUCACAACGAAGAUGACAUAGACCGGUAUAUUGAGCUGAGAACAACUGAAAUUGAGGUCUAUAAGGUUGACCUUGAGAACCAGGCACUUGUGAAGAUGACAAACUUAGCGGGUCAUGCACUAUUCCUUGGUUAUAAUAGCACCAUGUGUGUUGCCACUAAGGAUUUCCCAGCAUUGAAGCCGAACUGUGUCUAUAUCACAGAUGACUCUUUUGAGUAUGUCAACAUGUGUAAGCAUAACUGGCGAGAAAUCGGAGUUUGGGAUAUAGAAAACAAGAGCCUGCAGACUUUUGAUAGUGAUUUGGUUACUAAUUCCUGGAUGAACUGGCCUUCUCCGGUUUGGAUAACACCCUCCCUGUUCUAG
rnacentral:rRNA from 1 species